UAAGGGCUCACCAAGGCGACGAUCCCUAGCUGGUCUGAGAGGAUGAUCAGCCACACUGGAACUGAGACACGGUCCAGACUCCUAGAGGAGGCAGCAGUGGGGAAUAUUGCACAAUGGGCGCAAGCCUGAUGCAGCCAUGCCGCGUGUGUGAAGAAGGCCUUCGGGUUGUAAAGCACUUUCAGUCGUGAGGAAGGUAGUGUAGUUAAUAGCUGCAUUAUUUGACGUUAGCGACAGAAGAAGCACCGGCUAACUCCGUGCCAGCAGCCGCGGUAAUACGGAGGGUGCGAGCGUUAAUCGGAAUUACUGGGCGUAAAGCGCAUGCAGGUGGUUUGUUAAGUCAGAUGUGAAAGCCCGGGGCUCAACCUCGGAAUUGCAUUUGAAACUGGCAGACUAGAGUACUGUAGAGGGGGGUAGAAUUUCAGGUGU
rnacentral:rRNA from 1 species